AGAAGCACAACAUUAUGGAGGUC
rnacentral:snRNA from 1 species